rnacentral:rRNA from 1 species
UGCCCCCUCCCCCGGGAUAGCCGCCCGAAAGGACGGGUAAUACCGGAUACCCCGGGGUGCCGCAUGGCACCCCGGCUAAAGCCCCGACGGGAGGGGAUGGCUCCGCGGCCCAUCAGGUAGACGGCGGGGUGACGGCCCACCGUGCCGACAACGGGUAGCCGGGUUGAGAGACCGACCGGCCAGAUUGGGACUGAGACACGGCCCAGACUCCUACGGGAGGCAGCAGUGGGGAAUCUUGCGCAAUGGGGGGAACCCUGACGCAGCGACGCCGCGUGCGGGACGGAGGCCUUCGGGUCGUAAACCGCUUUCAGCAGGGAAGAGUCAAGACUGUACCUGCAGAAGAAGCCCCGGCUAACUACGUGCCAGCAGCCGCGGUAAUACGUAGGGGGCGAGCGUUAUCCGGAUUCAUUGGGCGUAAAGCGCGCGUAGGCGGCCCGGCAGGCCGGGGGUCGAAGCGGGGGGCUCAACCCCCCGAAGCCCCCGGAACCUCCGCGGCUUGGGUCCGGUAGGGGAGGGUGGAACACCCGGUGUAGCGGUGGAAUGCGCAGAUAUCGGGUGGAACACCGGUGGCGAAGGCGGCCCUCUGGGCCGAGACCGACGCUGAGGCGCGAAAGCUGGGGGAGCGAACAGGAUUAGAUACCCUGGUAGUCCCAGCCGUAAACGAUGGACGCUAGGUGUGGGGGGACGAUCCCCCCGU